GCGGCAUAUGGGCGAUUUGCACGUCCGAUGAACGAUCAGGUCAAGUUCUUCGACCCGUGUUGCACGAUUUCUAAGUUCUUGUAUGAAAUUAAACCCACCUGCCAAGUUCUUGUAGCUGGAGCACAAUUAGCUCUUCUUUUUUCAUUAACAUUCCCUUCCCCUAGCCGUUGGUUCGACGACUGGAAGCCCUGGCGGCCUGGCCCCAGCACGGCGAUGGCCACGCGACCUCUCCUCUUCACGGCGUGGUGCCCUCUCCUCUUCCCCGACCUGCUCCGCGGCAGACAUGCGAUGGCUUCGCGCCGCCUGUUUCCGCCCCAGAUUCGUUCUGGUCCGCGAGCUACGGUAGCCCUGCAGCUGGAGGUCAUUGAUGAGGGCCUAGAUUGGAAAGUCAUUGUAAUAGAUUGGAGAAGAACAUAUCAUUGAAUGUAAUUGUGUACACAUCCUUCCAAUCAGCACCUGUAGAAAAUACAGAAAUGUGAUGCUGCAAAGGUCGUGUUGUCUUGCCAGUUCCACGAAUGAAAUACGGAGUACUAAGGUUCAACUAUUCAACAACAACAACAACAACCAAGCCUUUCAG